rnacentral:tRNA from 1 species
UCUGACUUAUUAUGGAAUGUUCCCUAUAUGUCAAUUAGGUCUUUGUUACCAAUGUUUUGUCUGCUUUUUCCAAGA